AAAGUCGUAACAAGGUUUCCGUAGGUGAACCUGCGGAAGGAUCAUUAAAAAAAGGAAUGCGCUUGCGCAUAACUCCUCUCAGCCGGUUGGUCGAAAGGCCUUCAGGCUUGAUUGAGUCCCUUAACCCUUUGUGAACUUUAUAACCAUUUUGCUUCGGCAGCGCGCCCUCCUCACCGGGGGUUGGUAAGGCUGUCGACAGCCCAUUUAAACUAUUUUAUUAAAAUCAUGAAGUCUGAUUACUGUUAAAUUUAAACAAGUUAAAACUUUCAGCAACGGAUCUCUUGGUUCUC
rnacentral:misc_RNA from 1 species